CCUACGGGUGGCAGCAGUAAGGAAUAUUGCUCAAUGGGGGAAACCCUGAAGCAGCAACGCCGCGUGGGGGAUGAAGGUUUUCAGAUUGUAAACUCCUUUUGUUAGAGAAGCUAAUGACGGUAUCUGACGAAUCAUCACCGGCUAACUCCGGGACAGCAUCCGCGGUCAUACGGAGGGUGCCAGCGUUAAUCGGAAUCACUGGGCGUAAAGAGCGCGUAGGCGGGAUAGCAAGUCAGAUGUGAAAUCCUAUGGGUUAACCAUAGAACUGCAGUUGAAACGGUUAUUCUAGAGUAUGGGAGAGGUAGGUGGAAUUCGUGGUGUAGGGGUAAAAUCCGUAGAGAUCAAGAGGAACACUGAUUGCGAAGGCGACCUGCUAGAACAUAACUGACGCUGAUGCGCGAAAGCGUGGGGAGCAAACAGGAUUAGAUACCCUAGUAGUC
rnacentral:rRNA from 1 species